rnacentral:lncRNA from 13 species
ACGAACCACAUUCACGGUAAAAGGUGCAUUAUGACGACGUAAAUAACCUUUAAAAGGGCGUAUUGCCCAAAACCCACGAUUGUUUUGAAUCUCUACGUUAAACGUGAAGAGUUACUCGUUCUGUAUUUAUUACUGAUUUCAUUAUCUUUAUAUUGUCGUCUCUUACUUUCUCUCUGCGUUGUUGGGAAGGGCACAUUUCACUGUUAGUCAACACCUGUUGUUCACCGAGCAUGUGACAAAUAAAAUUGGAUUUGAUUUGACUAUGAGGGUGGUGAUAUCUUGAACUGACAUUUUGUUGUCAAUUAUUUCCAAUUGACUAAAACCUUUACUAUGAUAUAAAUAUAGAUAAAUAGUUGUUACUAUGAUAUAUAUAGAAACUGUUUACUAUGAUAUAUGUAGAAACGGUUUACUAUGAUAUAUAUAUAGAAACGGUUUACUAUGAUAUACUGUAUAUAGAGAGAUUAAAACUGAAAAUGGACAAACUAAAAUAAACAAGCAGAACGGUAAUAAACUUGGUUGAAACCAUUUGACAUGCCUGUUUUCAGUCCCUCCAACCUACAUCCCCAAACUGCAGAGUUCAUUGAAAUGUCAUUUACACACUAUAUUAAUCAGUAACACAACAUGGACCUCUAGUCCUCUUCAGAGAUUUAGUUAGUGACAUUAAUCAGUAACACAACAUGGACCUCUAGUCCUCUUCAGAGAGAUAGUUAGUGACAUUAAUCAGUAACACAACAUGGACCUCUAGUCCUCUUCAGAGAGAUAGCUAGUGACAUUAAUCAGUAACACAACAUGGACCUCUAGUCCUCUUCAGAGAGUUAGUUAGUGACAUUAAUCAGUAACACAACAUGGACCUCUAGUCCUCUUCAGAGAUUUAGUUAGUGACAUUAAUCAGUAACACAACAUGGACCUCUAGUCCUCUUCAGAGAGAUAGUUAGUGACAUUAAUCAGUAACACAACAUGGACCUCUAGUCCUCUUCAGAGAGAUAGCUAGUGACAUUAAUCAGUAACACAACAUGGACCUCUAGUCCUCUUCAGAGAG